GAUAAACGCUGGCGGCGUGCCUAAUACAUGCAAGUCGAGCGAACGGACGAGAAGCUUGCUUCUCUGAUGUUAGCGGCGGACGGGUGAGUAACACGUGGAUAACCUACCUAUAAGACUGGGAUAACUUCGGGAAACCGGAGCUAAUACCGGAUAAUAUUUUGAACCGCAUGGUUCAAAAGUGAAAGACGGUCUUGCUGUCACUUAUAGAUGGAUCCGCGCUGCAUUAGCUAGUUGGUAAGGUAACGGCUUACCAAGGCAACGAUGCAUAGCCGACCUGAGAGGGUGAUCGGCCACACUGGAACUGAGACACGGUCCAGACUCCUACGGGAGGCAGCAGUAGGGAAUCUUCCGCAAUGGGCGAAAGCCUGACGGAGCAACGCCGCGUGAGUGAUGAAGGUCUUCGGAUCGUAAAACUCUGUUAUUAGGGAAGAACAUAUGUGUAAGUAACUGUGCACAUCUUGACGGUACCUAAUCAGAAAGCCACGGCUAACUACGUGCCAGCAGCCGCGGUAAUACGUAGGUGGCAAGCGUUAUCCGGAAUUAUUGGGCGUAAAGCGCGCGUAGGCGGUUUUUUAAGUCUGAUGUGAAAGCCCACGGCUCAACCGUGGAGGGUCAUUGGAAACUGGAAAACUUGAGUGCAGAAGAGGAAAGUGGAAUUCCAUGUGUAGCGGUGAAAUGCGCAGAGAUAUGGAGGAACACCAGUGGCGAAGGCGACUUUCUGGUCUGUAACUGACGCUGAUGUGCGAAGGCGUGGGGAUCAAACAGGAUUAGAUACCCUGGUAGUCCACGCCGUAAACGAUGAGUGCUAAGUGUUAGGGGGUUUCCGCCCCUUAGUGCUGCAGCUAACGCAUUAAGCACUCCGCCUGGGGAGUACGACCGCAAGGUUGAAACUCAAAGGAAUUGACGGGGACCCGCACAAGCGGUGGAGCAUGUGGUUUAAUUCGAAGCAACGCGAAGAACCUUACCAAAUCUUGACAUCCUUUGACAACUCUAGAGAUAGAGCCUUCCCCUUCGGGGGACAAAGUGACAGGUGGUGCAUGGUUGUCGUCAGCUCGUGUCGUGAGAUGUUGGGUUAAGUCCCGCAACGAGCGCAACCCUUAAGCUUAGUUGCCAUCAUUAAGUUGGGCACUCUAAGUUGACUGCCGGUGACAAACCGGAGGAAGGUGGGGAUGACGUCAAAUCAUCAUGCCCCUUAUGAUUUGGGCUACACACGUGCUACAAUGGACAAUACAAAGGGCAGCGAAACCGCGAGGUCAAGCAAAUCCCAUAAAGUUGUUCUCAGUUCGGAUUGUAGUCUGCAACUCGACUACAUGAAGCUGGAAUCGCUAGUAAUCGUAGAUCAGCAUGCUACGGUGAAUACGUUCCCGGGUCU
rnacentral:rRNA from 1 species